UACGAAGGGGCUAGCGUUGUUCGGAAUUACUGGGCGUAAAGGGCGCGUAGGCUGUGCUGUAAGUCAGGCGUGAAAGCCCGGGCUCAACCUGGGAAUUGCGCUUGAUACUGCGGCGCUGGAAGGUGGGAGGAGGAUGGCGGAAUUCCCAGUGUAGAGGUGAAAUUCGUAGAUAUUGGGAAGAACACCGGUGGCGAAGGCGGCGCUCUGGACCGAGACGUGACGCUGAGGCGGCGAAAGCGU
rnacentral:rRNA from 1 species